UCUGACAAGAGAGCUGUCAUGCCUUCUGCCC
rnacentral:piRNA from 1 species